CUCUCUCUCAAAUAAGUAAAUAAAAUCUUUAAGAAAUAAUUUUGUGACAUCCUAUCCCUACAUUAAAAUAUCUUCCAAAGUUAACAUCUAAGGUUGCCCCAUCCCCUAUAACCUGCUUCUCCACAAGCCUUUUCUAUCUCGGUAAAUGGCACCUCCACUCUUCAGUGGCUCAGGCCAAAAAACUUAGUCAUCCUGAUUCCAUUUUCUCUCUUACAUUCAAUACCUACCUUAACAGCAAAUCCCGAGAAGCCUAAUCUUGAAAAUAUGUGCAGAAUCAAACUACUUCUUAGAUCUCUUCUGCCACUGUCCUAAUCCAAAGUGCCCAUGUCUCUGGCUUGGAUUACUGCAAUAGCCUAUAUACUAGUUUCUCUGUCCUUGACCCCUAAAGUCUUUCCUCACUAUAAACAUAGAUCAGUUCAUGAGAACUCUCCAAUGGCUUCCUAUUUCACUCACAGUAAAAACCAAUGUCCUUGCCACAGCCUAUAAGCCUCCUUCCUCUACCUCCCCCUAUCUCUGUGAACCUACCUUCUACUACUUUCCUUCCUGAUCUCUCUGCUUCAGUCAUACCAGCUUCCUUCCUUUUCCUCAAACAUGGCAGCCAUACAGCUGCCUCAGGGCCUUUGCACCUGCUAGCCCCUCAGCCUGUAACACCCUUUCCAUAUGGCUCCUGCCCUUAUUUCCUUCAGGUCUCUUUUUUACGCUCUUUUACCAGUGACACUUUCCCUUACCAUUUCAAAUAGCACUGUCUUCCUCCCCCUUCCUCAUCCUGCCACUCCAGACAUUCCUCAGAUUCCUGUAGCCUCUGUUUUUCUCCCCAGCUCCAAUCUGACAUUCUGAAUAUUUACUUGUUGGGCUGUUUGCUGUAAACAGCAUGAAGGCAGAGAGUUUUUCACCACUGUUUUUGUUCUAGCCUCAGGUCUUAGAAGUGGCCUGACACUUUUCAGGCAUUCAGUAAAUAUUUGUAAAAUACAUUAAAUUAUUAAGUCCCCCUUGUGAGUCCUGGACCUGAGACUGAGGCAGAGACGGGAGGAGCCCUCUCUAGAUACUUGCCUUCAGUCUGAGUUAUAAACGUCAGUGUGUCCACCGAGGCUCCGCCCUCUCUCUGCAGUUCAUAGGAUACACUGGCGGAAUAUUGCUCUACUUCUCCGGUGGGCUUCAGUUCCAGCUCAAAUCUAAAGAUAUCACAGUGUAUAUGGUGCAUAAUGUUAGAGUUUUCAGUGAUGAUGUUUACCGCCCCAAAACAACUCAGCCUCCAUGGCAAUAAAAAUAUGGUCCUUAUUUUAAUAUUGGCUUUUGUCCCUAACUAAUGAUGACCUUUCUGAUCCCUUUCAGUCCCUCUAAGAGCUCACGGGAAAAGGGAGACUCCAGGGUGUUUGGACAAACAGAGCAGGAGUUGGCAGGUUGUGUCAGCAAAGCUGAGAACAAGCAGUGGAAGUGGCGAGAGUUGAAGACAAGGAGCCCUGAAGCAUGGCCGGGGCUUCAAACACAUCAGUAGGCUCUAGGAAAAGUCAAGCUAAUGUGUCUGGAGGCUCAGAAGCCUGGACCCUGAAUUAGGAACAAAUUGGAAUCUGUGCUGUGAUGACACCACCUAUAAAGAGAUGCUUUUAAAGGAAUAUCUCUCACUGGUAAUGGCUUCAGCUCCCUUGAGGGAGGGUGCUAGAAUUACCUUGGCUGUUUAUUUUUUGAGCUAAGACCUCUCUUAGGGGUCAUGACUCCUUACCUUCCAGCCCUGCCCCACCCCUUCUCACCUAUGGGGAAACCCAGUCCUACCCUCAAAGUUUAGGUAGGAAUAUAAGUACCCUUCAGGUGUGUUGGACAGAGGACCGCUAUUUUAAGCAAUUAAAGGAUGGUGCAAAGGCCUAAGGCUGGUGGCACAGGCCUCUUACAACACAGAGCAGUUUUUUCUUUGCCCUGCCUACUGGCCAUUAUGUAGAAGAUGAGCAGAUGCCGGGCGGGACACUGCACAACUCUGACCUGGUGUCCCGGGACAGCGGAUAGUAGGAGGCAGAUUCUGGAGAGUUGGCGGUGGAGUAAGCGCCCGAGGAACAGUAGUCCAGGCCAGUAAAGAGAGGCUUGCAAGUCGACCAGGACUUGCGGCUCUCAUUUAGAGGUGCAACCUCUUCUGUUUUGGUGGUAGAGACCAAAUGCAAUGUAUUACUGGUGAAGAAAGAAAAAACCUGAGUUACCUUCAAGUUACGAACUGAAGUGAACAACACUGAUUGUCGCCUGUCGCAGGGCCGAUAUUUGCCCCCUUACCCUGCUCUUUAUCCCCCUUCUGUCCACACCCACCUCAAAUUAUUUAUUUACUCAGAGACGACUAAUAGUACAAACAUCAACAAGGCUAAGAAACACAGUGACUCUUCUGUUUCAGACAUUGCACUAUGUUGUCUGCUUCCGUUUGCUGUGAUCCCCACAACAGCAGGCAUUAGGAGGCUCCUUGUUUUACUGAGGAAACAGAGACGCAGAGAUGUUGCAUAAGGAUCACUGGGACCUGAACUCAGGUGUGCCCCUUCCCUCGUGUGAAAGGAAGCCUAAGGGUAACUCUUACUUUAUGCUUCUUUCCACUUCUUUCCCACAUUAAAUGAGUCCAAGUCACCUUUCCCACUCACACCUCUCCCACUGCACCUGUGCGCACACACACCGCACACACACACACACACACACACACACACAUAUCCUUUUCUUUCCAUGCUCAGUCCCUCUUGUGUCCCUCACAAUCAAGAAACUUGUCUGCCUGGUGGUCUUCACUCUUUCAACACGCUUCUCAUGAACUAUGAUCCGAACGCCACACCAUCGAGCUUCUGGGACUGCCUCCAUCGGCAUCUCCAAUCACCUUCUUGCUCCCAACUCCCAAGGACAUUCUUAGGCAUCGUAUUCCUUGAUCUCCCAGAAGCAUUAGGUAGAGCUGCUCACUUCUGGCCGGAUUAAGACUUUAGAGUCCCUAACCUCUGAAAGGAUUAUGGAAUCCUCCUUCCAAGUACGUACUUAAAAAAAAUUGGUGAGUACAACAAAAUUCAACAAUGUUCUGAUUUCAUUGAAAGAUGCUUUCUUUGAAAUACUAUGUUCUUUUCUCAGUAUUAUUUCAUCCUUUAAGGGGUGCCCUAAAAGCCUUGCUGGUAGGCUGGAACUCUAAGUGCCUGCCCACGGGGCAAUCCACCCUGGUGGCCUCUGUUGGGCUUCUAUGACCUAUUACAGCUUUGGCUCUUCUUCCGCCCCUCCAGCCACUCCUUCCUUGCUCUGUGCUGCUUCGCUUCUGAUUCACACAUUCACAUUUUCCACAUUUCUGUCCUAGUGUUACAUUUACCUGACACCGAUUGCUGUUUGAAUUCAACGACCUCUAUCUGCAGAUGACGCCCAAAUCAGUAUUUGUAGCUCCAGCCUGUUUACUGAGCUUAGACCCAUUGGUCCUGCUGACAGCUGGGUAUCCCAACCAGUUGUUUUAUAGGACUUCAAAGGUGGCAUAUCCCAAACUGAGUUUGUCAGCUUCCCUGUUUCAGCGAGAGGUACUCCCCACUGCUCUUCCUCUUCUUUCUCACCUCCCAUCAAUUGCCAAGGGCUCAUGUUUCCAUCCACAAAAAAUUUCUAGGGUAGCCUCACUCUUCCAUGGACCCUCCUUGGACCCCAUCUGGUACAGGCUGCGAGCAUUUCUCGUGCACAUGGUGGGUGUGACGGACUCCAGCCAGUCUCCCUGUCUCCAGUCACAUUUGUCCAUCUGCACCCUGCUCUGGUGUCAGAAUACGCCCUCUAAAACACCAACCUUGCUUUAUUUAUGGUCCCAUUUUAAACUCUUCUGCCUUCAGAAGAGUCCGACAUCUUUCAGAUGGCUCAGAAGGCUGACCCUUGCCAGCCUUUGUCACCUCCCUCCACGACCCCUGUGCCCUAUACCACACUGAGUUUCGACUUUCUUAUAGCUCCUAAACCCUAUUCUUUUUCCUUCAAGCCAUUCUUUUCUCUUGGCCUGGGAACACUCAUUCCUUUCUCUUUGGUCUGCAUAACUCUGACAGCCUUCAGGUAUCAGGUGCUUCCUCUCCUUGAGCACUUGGCACUUAUAGCUUUACUGUACAUCCUUCCUGUGAACUGUGGGCACUAGAAGGUCAGGUGUAUCUUAUUCCAUGGGCUUCGUAUAUAUUAGGCACUUAAAUACUAUUUUUACUAUUUUUAAAUCAAUAAAUUAAGGUGUCCAACAUAGAGAAACUAAGGUAAAUCAAUGUUUAAGGAUAUCAUUGAAAAUGGAGCUCUCCGUAAAUGCUGCAUCGUAUAAUCAUGAGAUUAGGACUCUCAUGCUCUAUCCACUGAGCUAGCUACCACAGAUCAGUAUGUUCUCUGGUGUUCUUCCUAUGAAAAAAAUGUUCAUUUUCCAAGGAUGAUUUCUCUAGAGUUUGUGUUUCUUCAUUCUCAAAACAAACGAAUAAACAACAACAACAACAACAAAAAACCUAAUAUCGAGUGAUUAAUUAGUAAGUCCUAAAUGUCAGUUUGUAAAAUGUGGACAGUCAAGGAAAUUGUAAUGUUUAGGUGAGUCUAAGCUAGGUUAACCUUCUCUCACCCCCCCACCCCCCAGGUACAUGGGGCCCUGAAUUAUCUCAGGCAGUCAAGUCCCAUGGAUCCAGUCUCAACUGUCCCUCUCACACUGGCUGGUGAUCUGAUGGACAGAAUUACCUGCCACUGAACAGCUUGACUGGCCUUGUUGGAGAAGGAAUGACAAACUUGAGCCUUCCAGCUUUGAAGGCAAUUUGCAUCUCCAGACCUGUCUCGUGGAAGAAGUUGGUGUUCAUUUGGAUCCCAGUCUUUGAAAAAUCCGGGAUGAUGAUGCCCAUAUUUGUCACAAACUCCAUGGACACAGAAGGCUUUGCUACCAGCUCCGUGAGCAACUGUAAAUCAGAAAAUGACCUGUUCAACUUCAAUACCUCAGCCCCUGUGCAGUCAGAUCAACCACCCUUCCCCAUCCCUGGGCAAACAUCUCUGGAUCACUCACAGCUCAGGAAACAUUACUGUGAUAUCUUAGGAGGAAGAAAAGCCAUGUUCCCAGUUCCCCAGAACCAGACCACGUUGAGACCCAGCACUAGGAAGUGCCCAAGUUAACUUUAAGCAUAACAGGAUGAAAAAAAGACAGGAAUCUUCAUUUAUUGAGAAUUACUGUCUCCUUAUUGCUUGCUAGGAGCUAGCCAGGUGGCGCCUCCUAGUGGAAUCCUACAGUUUUUCCAUAAAAAUGAGUAAGGAGAUGAUGAUGAUGUACUUCAUCUUGAACUGCACACAUUUUAAAAUUGUACAAGAAACUCACCAUGGAGGAAAUGAACAAUCUAAGGAAUGAGAAAGUGAGCAGGGUCUUACAUUGGCCAUUUCCACCUUCAUUCCGGCCUUCAUUCCAGGAGUGAUGACUCCAGAGGAGGAGACUUGCAAUUGUAACCCAAGUCCAGUGGGGAGUUCAAAGGCAUUGUCCAUGAAGAUGUAGUGAAGAAAUAAGUCAUUCUUUAGGCCUUUUCUGAUGGCCUCUCCAAUCUGUAGAUCAACAGGGGACAGUAGCUAUAAGAAAGCCUCAUCAAAGCAGAAUUUGUGAAAUGUUCCCUCCCACAUAUGAGACAAUAGUUAUUCUCUAUCUAGAAAGGAACAGACUAGGAUAUUUUGACUAGCUGAGUAUUUGAUAAAAAUCAAUGAUUAUUGGUUUCAACAUAUUGGGAUUUAAGAAAUUGCUCUAGACAGAUACCAUGUCAUUUUGAACUAGUGGUUCAGUCACUUAAGAAUAUUGCUGUGCCUCAGAGCUUUAUGAGCUAUAAGUCACCCUGAAUGGCAUGGCUUAAUUCUAGUUAUUUGGAGUCUAAAUGGAAAUGAGGGUUUACUUAAGCAUAAUCUAUUAUGAUAAAAUCACUUUUUUUAAGGAUUAUUUUAGAAAGGGGGGAGGGGCAGAGGGAGAGGGACAAGCAGACUCACUGUUGAAUGCCAGAACCUGACUCAGGGCUCAACUCUAGGACCUGAGCUGAAACUAAGAGUCAGCUGCUUAACCGACUGAGCUACCUGGACACCCCAAAACCAUUUUUUUAAAACUAAUGAGCUAUCGAGAUGAUGUACAUAUUACUAUGCAUUGCUUUUGGGUUUUUUAAAUGACAUUUCUAGAAAAUAACUUGAAAUCUGGUUUCUUAAAGCCAACAUUAUUAUUAAUCAAAUAUCAGGGAAUAUAUUUAGAUAUUUUCUCCCUUAUUAAUAAAUUAAUAAUGAUGAAAACUAUAGCUCAUAUUUAGAUAGUACACUAUGGUUUGUCAAAUACAUCCUUUCAUAAUCAUUGUAGCAUAGAUCUAGGGAACUUGUAGCAUAGAGGGAGAUACACUUAAUAUUAUUUUCCAGAUAAAUAAAUGAAUACCUUUAAAAGAUAUAUCUCACAUUAUGAAUGGUCUAAUUUCUAAAUGUUACCAAUUCUUUGCAAUCCAAGAAUCUUCCUCUCUGAAAUUCAAGGCAAACCUGCUUCUUUGGAAGAAGCACAAGUACUUUCUCUGGUUUGUGGGACAGAUCUUAAGGAAUCUGGGAGAUCUAAGAAAAGCAUGGGCUAAUCUCAUUGUCUGUGAUGGGGCCUGACCCACUUACCAUCUGGGGGAUACCGGCAAGAGUGUGAACACCAUUCAGCAGCAUCUUUCCCAGGAGCUGGAGGUCAUGGAGCCUGACAAAGCCAAGCUCCUCUCCCAGGAUGUGGAGACAAGUCCUUCUUUGAUAUAAGAAGAACUCCAUAGACUGAUGUUUAGAUAUGUGAAAGAAGAGUGAUUGACAGACACAAACAGAGCAAAGGCCUUCAGCCUCCAGUGGAGGGCUUCCCUGAGACAUCUCCAUUUCCAUCAAUACUACAGAGUCCCACUUUGAGUAACCAUUAGCUGGAAGGAAAGAAGGUGAGAGGAAAGAAACGCUCAAACUGAUGGUAUGAACCAACUGCCUGAUUGGAUUUCCUCCCCAGGCUGACUCACGGCUCUCUUGACUUGCUAUUUACGGUGUUGUACAUACAGAACAGGAGAAAGGAUGUAAGCCUCUUCUUUUUCAUCUCAUACAUACCUCAAAGAGGUCAGCAGGAGCAAGUCCAAAGACGGUGAGGGUUGUUUUCAGCAUGCUUUCUUUAGGAAGGUAAUUAUUUGGAUCAAAUAUAAGAUUUCCCUCAAUUUUGCCCGAGAUGGGGUCAAGCGAUGGAAGGGAAACAGAUUUGGAUAGGUGAUAGUUCCGGGAAAAUUUUGAGAAGUCCAUGAUGGUUGGGAGCUGAGAUCCUUUCAGAGCUCCUUCUACUAACUUUUUCAAGCUAGAUGGAAAAUCGAAAGAAGGAGUGGAUUUUUAGCAUACAUAUCCUGUUAAAAAUCCAUUGUCUUUCUCACCCCAAGGAAAUAUGGAUUACAGUUACUACCAAAUGGUCUGGAUUUCCUUUGCCCAAGAGUGUGGCUCAAUUUUGUUACACUUUUUCAUGAAUGUUGCCCAGAAGAAAGAACACUCCGUAAAGGGCAGGCAGUGGCCUUUAGGAAUGAGAUUUAGGAUUCUUUCCCUUUGUGGCAGAUAGGGAAAAAUGACUCUUACUUACUCUUUGAUAUACAAUUCUUCUGAGUUUAAGAUGUUGGCGAUGUGGGAAGCCACAAAGUUCUUCACUUGCUCAUUCUGUUCCCGUGGCAGAAGCUGGGUGAUUUGGUUUAUAUCUGACUGGGAAGGGCUUCUCAUCAGCAUGAGAUAGGCAGCCAGUCGCUUUUCCCCUGGAGAGGCAUCAUCGAGGAAAACCUGAAGAAGGACUUCCCGGACCUAUAGCCAAAAAACGAGGCUGUUCGCACUGUCCUUUGAUCAGAACACAGAUGUGGCUGGCAAACACUGAUGUGCUUUGCUGAUGGUUUACUACGUGCAAGUCAAACAUCUUUCUAAUAACUUUUCACAUGCUGGUAUGGAAUCUUCUUGCCGGAGUCCCUCAGAACAACCAUCUCAAGGAAGGGUCUCAGAAGAUUCCUAUCAUAUGCAUGUUGCAUUCAACUGCAUUAAUGUACUCAAGUGAUGACUUGAGGAAGAUCUGCUACUAUAAGUGGAAAUAAACUUAUUUUAACAUAAAUUAUUUCAAUGUGAGAAUAAAGGUAGAAAGGGACAGUAAGAGUUUGGGGUGAUUAAAUAAGGCAUUUUCCAAAGCUCUGAAGUCAUUUUCACCCAAAGUAGGGGCAGGUUUACUAUCCCACUUUGGGAAGACUGGGGGAAAUCAGGCAUGUCUUUCUGAGAGGGAUGAUUGAUCUGGUAGGGGGACAGCAUGAAGCUAAAAUCUCAUAUUUUGAGGCUAGAGUAGCAGUUUGGUGCAGUAUUUCUCUCUUGCCCACAUACUACCAGGCAGUCAAGUCAAUAGGCUUUUUGAAAUUGGCAAUUAGAAAGCAGUAGAAUGAUGGGAUUUAGAAUCUUAUUCCACCUCCUCGCUAAUCUAAAUAAACCUUUUUUACAUUUAGACUUCCUCUUUGGACCUCACCUCAUCUUUAAGUUCCAUUUUCCGCAGGGCCUGGAUGGCAGCCUUCUGAAUCAGCAGUGAUGGCUCUGUGCUCUGGAUACAUUUCAGGAUGGAAGACGUGAGUCUUGGGGCUACUGUCUCCAUGGUUCUGCCCAUAUUUCCAAUGACCUGCAUUGAAAAGAAACAAAGGCAAAUCAAGUGCCGAAGAAGUAGGGAGCGUCCAGGAAAAUGCUUCUGAAGCAAUGCAUAUCAUACAGAAGAUUGGAAGUACCCUCAGAAUCAAGUAGGUGUGAUCUUCGUUCCCAGUGCAGCUGUCUUGAAGCUGUUCCAACAGGUAAUCAGCAAUAUUCAGCAGGUCCUGGGUCACCACGGGAUUUGCCUUAUGAUAGCUACAGAAUAAGAGUUAGGACUCAGCAAGCAUAGCUAGGUUUAUCUUAAAAUACAAACUUGUGUGUGCAGAUUUCUCAAGUCUUUGCUCUCAAAAUGGCCAGUGGAAAAACAAAA